rnacentral:antisense_RNA from 1 species
ACAUCUCCCCCUCCCUUCCGGAGCCCAGGUAUCAUAUACACCCCAAAAACAAAAUGCUUUGAAUACUAGAAGAAAAACAUAUAUACCUAACAAAAUUAAGUGAAUACCUAAAAUGGUAGUCGUUUUAUUUCUAUCUUUCCA